GCAUAUAAGUAUAAUUUUAUAUAUAUCAAUAUUAUUUAUAAAACAAAAAGAAGCUUCUAAAAAAAUAAGAACAAUAGAAUCCAAAAUUCAUUUUAUUGUUUUAUUAUAUUUGUCAUUAUGUGUUUUUUUUUAUAUAUUUGGAGAUAAAUCUUUUAUUAGAUAUCAUACAUUUUAUUUGACCUUAAUAUUAGCAACGAUUUAUUAUUUUCUUCCAUUCUUUUUAUAUAUUUUAUUAAGGCUAAUUCUUUGUUUCCUUGUAUUAAUAUUAAUAUUUACGAAAAGAAAAACACCGACACCAAAAAAAACUUUAAAAAAAUUAAAAAUAAUUAAAUUUCUUGAAUACAAAGAAUACUGUGAACAAAUGUUAUUUAACAAAAAAAAAAAUAGCUCAGAUAAUAAUUUAGAUGAAAGUUUAAAAAAAGAAGUGGAAACUGUUAAAGAUGACAAUGUUACGACAAUUGACAUUACAAAUAUGAGCAUUUUGGAUACUACCAAUAGUAAUAACAAUAGCAAUAAAAAUACUAUGGAUAUUACUAGUAUUAAUUUAAGUACUGGUUGUAAUAAUAUGGAAAACUGUAAUAAUAAAUACACAGAAGACAAUGCAAAUCCAUGUAGUGACGACAUAUAUGAUAAUCUAAAAAAUACAUCAACUAUUAUCAAUAUCAGUUCGAAGACAAACGCAAACGGAAGUACAAAAAUAAAUAAUAUAAAGUCUAAUGUACAAACAGAUAGUAACAAAAUGAGUGAUAAAAUAAUAAAUGAAACAAUGAUAAAUGAUAAGGUAAUAUAUGAUACAAGCAAUGGUGAUAGCGAUGGAAAUGGUAACAGUAACAGCAAUCAUAAUAGCCAAUAUAAAAGAGAAUUUAAUAUGUGUUUCGAUAAUAAAGAUAUAACAGAUGGUAACGAAUCAAUAGAUAAAAAUGAGAAUAAUAAAAAAAAUGGUAUAUUUGAGUAUUUUAAGAAAGUAAAAAAAAAGAAAAAAAAAAAAUUAGAAAAAGAAAAAAAUGAACUAUAUUUAACUAAAGAUAAUCAUAUAUUUUUUAUUAAUGUAGAAAAUUCAAACUAUACAUGUUCAAUUUGUUGUUCUAAAUAUUUGAAUGAAGACGAUAUUUGUAUAUUACCAUGUAAUUAUCGUCAUUAUUACCAUAAGGAAUGUAUAUUUACUUGGUUGAAAAAAAAUAAUGAUUGUCCCU
rnacentral:lncRNA from 1 species